rnacentral:rRNA from 1 species
CCCUUAGAUGUUCUGGGCUGCACGCGCGCUACACUGACACUAUCAACGAGUGCUCCUGGUUUGAAAGGAUCGGGUAAUCUUUUGAAAUGGUGUCGUGAUGGGGAUAGAUCAUUGCAAUUAUUGAUCUUGAACGAGGAAUUCCUAGUAAAUGUGAGUCAUCAGCUCACGUUGAUUACGUCCCUGCCCUUUGUACACACCGCUCGUCGCUCCUACCGAUUGAGUGAACCGAUGAGUAGUCCGGAUUGCGAUCGACCUCGGUUAAUCGCGAGAAGUUCCGCAAAUCACUUCACUUAGAGGAAGGAGAAGUCGUAACA